rnacentral:rRNA from 1 species
GGCGAACGGGUGAGUAACACGUGGGAAAUUUUCCUAGGAGUGGGGGAUAACAUUCGGAAACGGAAUGCUAAUACCGCAUAUCUUCAUAGACCGCAUGGUCUAUGAAUGAAAGACGGCUUUGCUGUCGCUCUUAGAUGAUCCCGCGGCGUAUUAGUUAGUUGGUGGGGUAAAGGCCUACCAAGACAAUGAUACGUAGCCGACCUGAGAGGGUGAUCGGCCACACUGGGACUGAGACACGGCCCAGACUCCUACGGGAGGCAGCAGUGAGGAAUAUUGGUCAAUGGAGGCAACUCUGAACCAGCCAAGUCGCGUGAAGGAUGACUGCCCUACGGGUUGUAAACUUCUUUUUUAAGGGAAUAAAGUGAGCCACGUGUGGCUUUUUGCAUGUACCUUACGAAUAAGGAUCGGCUAACUCCGUGCCAGCAGCCGCGGUAAUACGGAGGAUCCGAGCGUUAUCCGGAUUUAUUGGGUUUAAAGGGUGCGCAGGCGGAAUAUUAAGUCGGCGGUGAAAGUUUGCAGCUUAACUGUAAAAUUGCCGUUGAUACUGGUAUUCUUGAGUGUAUAUGAAGUAGGCGGAAUUUGUAGUGUGGCGGUGAAAUGCAUAGAUAUUACAAGGAACUCCGAUUGCGAAGGCAGCUUACUAAAUUACAACUGACGCUUAGGCACGAAGGCGUGGGUAUCAAACAGGAUUAGAUACCCUGGUAGUCCACGCAGUAAACGAUGAUUACUCGCUGUUUGCGAUACACAGUAAGCGGCUUAGCGAAAGCGUUAA